GAGAUGGCUUAGUGGUUAAGAGCACUGACUGCUUUUCUUCCAGAGGACCUGGGUUCAAUUCCCAGUACUCA
rnacentral:tRNA from 1 species